rnacentral:rRNA from 1 species
GACGUAGGGUGCAAGCGUUGUCCGGAUUUACUGGGCGUAAAGAGCGCGUAGGCGGUUCGUUAAGUGUAGAGUGAAAUCUCUGGGCUCACCCCAGAAACUGCUCUGCAUACUGGCGGACUAGAGGGUCGCAGAGGCUUGUGGAAUUCCCGGUGUAGCGGUGAAAUGCGUAGAUAUCGGGAAGGAACACCCAUGGCGAAGGCAG